UACCCAUGAUGUGGACACUUCAAAAGUAGCCCAUUAAAUCGCUCCCAUGUUUCAAAAAACUGUUCGUCUUCUCUCUGGGUAAACUUUGAAAUUUUCCUGCGAAU
rnacentral:snoRNA from 1 species